UGGAGUGCAAUGACGUGAUCUUGGCUCACUGCAACCUCCGCCUCCCAGGUUCAAGUGAUUCCCCUGCCUCAGCCUCCCGAGUAGCUGGGAUUACAGGUGCCUGCCACCACGCCCAGCUAAUCUUUUGUAUUUUUAGUAGAGACGGGGUUUCACCGUAUUAGCCAGGAUGGUCUCAAUCUCCUGACCUCGUGAUCCAUCCGCCUCGCCCUCCCAGAGUGCUGGGACUACAGGCGUGAGCCACCGCGACCGGCUCAGACUGUACUCUUAUAGCCAUCUGAAAUACGUUUUCUAGGUAGAGAUAGAUUGUGUAAGGGUACAGUUGUGAGGAUAACAGAAACAUGGCAGAUUAUUUAAAAUCAUCCUGAAAGUGGUGCUUUAUCUGAUGAAAGUGAUUGUAAUCCAUAGGAAAAUGUUUCAACGUGCACAAGAGUUGCGGCGGCGGGCAGAGGACUACCACAAAUGCAAAAUCCCCCCUUCUGCAAGAAAGCCUCUUUGCAACUGGGUCAGAAUGGUGGCAGCGGAGCAUCGUCGUUCUUCAGGAUUGCCCCACUGGCCCUACCUCACAGCUGAAACUUUAAAAAACAGGAUGGGCCACCAGCCACCUCCUCCAACUCAACAAAUUUCUAUAACUCAAAACUCC
rnacentral:lncRNA from 1 species